GAUGAACGCUGGCGGCGUGCAUAACACAUUCAAGUCGAACGGUGAAGUUCCUUCGGGAACGGAUCAGUGGCGGACGGGUGAGUAACGCGUGAGCAACCUGCCGUAUAGUGGGGGAUAACACAGGGAAACUUGUGCUAAUACCGCAUAACACAUUGAGGCCGCAUGGUUUUGAUGUCAAAGAUUUAUUGCUGUACGAUGGGCUCGCGUAUGAUUAGACAGUUGGCAGGGUAACGGCCUACCAAAUCUACGAUCAUUAGCCGAACUGAGAGGUUGAACGGCCACAUUGGAACUGAGAAACGGUCCAGACUCC
rnacentral:rRNA from 1 species